AGGACGAGGGUGGAGGCAGAUGGACAGUUGCUGGGAGUAAGCACCAAGCUGUGUCCCUGAGGUAGGGCCUGUGUCUGGACGUCUCACCUGCGCGUCUCAUCUACGCCACCUGGAAGUGUUUGUGAAACCAGCUUCGCGUCCUCUCCACAAGCCUCUGCGCUCUGGGACUUGGUUGACACCGAAGAUCCACCAGUAGCCUUUAAGGAGAGGCCUCUGCUGCUCACAGUCUUGGCCAGAGAAGCUCCUGUUUGCAGUGGGCAGUCCUGAGAGAUGCAGGACUAAUCAAAACGCUGAGAAAAAGAGACUUGUGUGCUCAGCCCUGACUCACUCAGCCCCACUCACCGCCCAAACUCAGGGAACAUGGCAGAAGAGGAAGUGGAAAGAAUGUAAUAAAGACAAAGGAUGGGGAGGAGUGCUGUAAAACACUGUCUUCUGGAUGUUAUGGGUGUGGGAUAAUUUCAGAGAUCCUGGACUCACAGCAGCUAUGGUUACCUGAACAAGACCUACACAAGUGCUAGCUGGCCCAAAACCCUGGCAUACCCACCCCUUACUAAAGAGCUGUUGGUAGCAGAUCGUUGCUGAGGAAGGGGAACUGUUCUUUUUGAGGAUGUGGCCCGACUAUAUAAUCUCAAGGCCUAUACCCAUUUCCUUCAAUGAGGCUUCACCUCCUAAGGGUUCAGCAACCUUCCCAAACAGUGUCACCAGGUGGGGACCAAGUGUUCAAAUACCUACGCAUGGCAAACAUUUCACAUUCAAACUGGAGCUGCUCUCCAGGAGGCUUCACCUCCUAAGGGUUCAGCAACCUUCCCAAACAGUGUCACCAGGUGGGGACCAAGUGUUCAAAUACCUACGCAUGGCAAACAUUUCACAUUCAAACUGGAGCUGCUCUCCAGGACAGAGGCACAGUGGCUCCCCAGCACCCAGGCCCAUGGUGGACUCUGAAAGUUCCAGUGUUUCCUUGACAUCAAACUUCAAUCUUUCUUCCUCUCUUGGUCAUCAGCAUGACUACCCCUGGGUGUCCCUCUGAAGGGUCAGUGAGGACACUGAUUUCACAGUCUUUCUUUCCACGAAGACACUGCAAAUACAAUGCUCUGUGUACCCUCUCACACUUACAGAGCUGACCACACCCUGUACUGAACACAGGGCACCACACCACACUGCAGCCUGGGCCAGCUUGGGGCGAGCGCCUGGACGGCACAGUUGGAUCUCAAGAGUGAUCUAAGAGAAGAGUGGGCACCAUGGCAUAGGGACUGCAGGGUCCACACCCCACCAUCCUGGCCUCUCUGUAGAGCUUUAAGAAUGAAAUUAUUUGAAAACUGUCAUAUUAUAAAGUAUUUAAAUAACUGCA